UACGUAGGGUGCAAGCGUUAAUCGGAAUUACUGGGCGUAAAGCGUGCGCAGGCGGUUGCGUAAGACAGAUGUGAAAUCCCCGGGCUCAACCUGGGAACUGCAUUUGUGACUGCACGGCUCGAGUGCGGCAGAGGGGGAUGGAAUUCCGCGUGUAGCAGUGAAAUGCGUAGAUAUGCGGAGGAACACCGAUGGCGAAGGCAAUCCCCUGGGCCUGCACUGACGCUCAUGCACGAAAGCGUGGGGAGCAAACAGG
rnacentral:rRNA from 1 species